CCUACGGGAGGCAGCAGUGGGGAAUAUUGCACAAUGGGGGAAACCCUGAUCCAGCGACGCCGCGUGAGCGAUGAAGUAUUUCGGUAUGUAAAGCUCUAUCAGCAGGGAAGAAAAUGACGGUACCUGACUAACAAGCCCCGGCUAACUACGUGCCAGCAGCCGCGGUAAUCCGUAGGGGGCAAGCGUUAUCCGGAUUUACUGGGUGUAAAGGGAGCGUAGACGGUCCUGCAAGCCAGAUGUGAAAGCCCGGGGCUCAACCCCGGGACUGCAUUUGGAACUGUAAGGCUAGAGUGUCGGAGAGGCAGGCGGAAUUGCUAGUGUAGCGGUGACAUGCGUAGAUAUUAGGAGGAACACCAGUGGCGAAGGCGGGCUGCUGGACGAUGACUGACGUUGAGGCUCGAAAGCGUGGGGAGCAAACAGGAUUAGAUACCCGAGUAGUC
rnacentral:rRNA from 1 species